AUUGAACGCUGGCGGCAUGCCUUACACAUGCAAGUCGAACGGCAGCACGGGAGUAAUCCUGGUGGCGAGUGGCGAACGGGUGAGUAAUAUAUCGGAACGUGCCCAGUCGUGGGGGAUAACGCAGCGAAAGCUGUGCUAAUACCGCAUACGAUCUAAGGAUGAAAGCGGGGGAUCGCAAGACCUCGCGCGAUUGGAGCGGCCGAUAUCAGCUGAGCUAGUUGGUGGGGUAAAGGCCCACCAAGGCGACGAUCUGUAGCUGGUCUGAGAGGACGGCCAGCCACACGGGAUCUGAGGCACGGUCCAGACACCUACGGGAGGCAGCAGUGCGGAAUUUUGGACAAUGGGCGCAAGCCUGAUCCAGCAAUGCCGCGUGCAGGAUGAAGGCCUUCGGGUUGUAAACUGCUUUUGUACGGAACGAAACGGCCCUUUCUAAUACAGGGGGCUAAUGACGGUACCGUAAGAAUAAGCACCGGCUAACUACGUGCCAGCCGCCGCGGUAACAC
rnacentral:rRNA from 1 species